CCCUGUUUGUGUUCCCUCUCUCACUGGCUGUCUCUCUCUGUCAAAUAAAUAAAAUCUUAAAAAAAAAAAAAAAAAGAAGAAGAAGAAGAGAAAUACCCAAUAGCACAGAAAUACAAAAGAUUGACAGAGAAUAUUAUGAAAAAUUUUUGUCCUAAGGUGAGCACAGGGAGGACAGAAACCUCCCGUGGAGCAGAAGGGCAAAAUCUUGCUUCAUCUUAAUUUUCAGCAUGAAUACAGACUGUGAAAGCAGGGCCUCACGAUCUUUCGGACGUUUUGGGUUUUAAGCAGGAGGUGUCAGAAAACUUGCCACAGGGAUAACUGGCUUGUGGCAGCCAAGCAUUCAUAGCGAUAUUGCUUUUUGAUCCUUCGAUGUCAGCAUUACUAUCAUUUUGAAACAGAAUUCACCAAGCGUUGGAUUGUUUACCCACUAAUAGGGAACGUGAAAAAUUUUAUGCCGGAAAAUU
rnacentral:ncRNA from 1 species